AUAACUUUCCAGGACAGGUCACGCUUUUCCAGGAGAAAAGAGCCACAGCUUGGUUAAAGUUCUACAACUUUCCAGGAUAAAAGUACCACACUCUUCUGGAGAGGAGGACUACGAAUGCCAUGAGAAGAGGACCACGUCUAUCCAGGAGAAGAGAACAACGACUUUACAGGAGUAGAAGACCGCGUAGUUCCAGGAGUAGAGCACCGCGUCUUUUCAGGGGAAGAAACUGCUUUCCAAAAGAAAUUUAACUACAGGUUUCCAGAAUUAAGUGAACUACGGCUUUCGAAGAGGAAACUACUGCGGUUUUUAGAACAAUGUGACCACUUCUAUCCAAAACAAAAAUUACCACGGUGAAUAUGAUGAUUCAGACUUUCCAGAAUAAGAGUCAUAUGAUCUCGGCUGUCUAGAAGAACAAGACUACGACUUAACCCUUUCAAACCUAGUGGUUUCACUAUGCCUUUCACUUGCCUUCCACAAGAAAUAAUAAUAUUACUGGUAUUAUCAGUCUUGGUGGUUACAUGUAGAAACCACCCUUAAAAAAAAAUUGCAAAUAGAUAUUCAAUGAAAUAUAUUGAAUUCCAUGUAUUCUCGACCUCAAAAUAUGAGUUUAUUUUCAAUGAAAUUUUUUAAUUUGGGCCUGAAAGGGUUAACAGAAGAUGAUGAUCAAGAGUUUCCAGAAGAAGACGAUGACAAUUUUUUUCAGAAGAUGACCACGGCUCUCCAGAAGAAGAUAACACAGAAGAUUAUGAUCAAGACUCUUCAGAAGAGAAGGAAGACGACAAUGACUUUUAAGAAGAUGACUUUCCGGCUUUCCUGAAGAAUAUGACAGAAGAUUAUGAUCAAGAUUUUGAAGAAGAUGAAGAGCAAGAUUUUCCAGUAUGGUAGAAAAAUUCAGAUUUCUAAGAAAGACGAAUAUCAGAUUUGAUCGAAAGAGAUGAAAACGGCUUUUUACGACGUGAGGAUGGGUGCUUUCUAGAUUGAAGAGAUGGUUUCUCAAUGAGAAAUGGAAUUCCUGAAGACUUUUAGAUAAUGGUAGCUUUCUGAGCAUAGAAAACGGCUUUCCAGAAGAGCUCGUGUGAAAGGAAAUAAAUUAAAGGGUUAGAGUAUAUACUGGCACUUGCACCAAUUUUGAGAGAGUAAUUUAUAAGCUGAACACAAGAACAAAUAAUGAAAUAUUUCGAAUGGUUGAGCAAAAGGUUAUAGAUGUAGAUGAAGAAGAGAAAGAAGACUAUAUGAGAGAAUCUUGCAAAAUUGUAAAGGAAAAGAUGAUGAUGGUCCACUAAGAAUUCCCAACUAUCCAAUGAAGCCUGAGUGCGACUCCAGAAGAUUUUGGGCAGAUUCCCCACUGGUGAGGUCAGGAAUAACGAAUUAUUUUCCAGACAUCUGAAGAAAAGUAUCGCUGAGUAUGGGGCUCGACAUAAAUGAAAAAGAUGUCUUCAAGAUAGAAGAGGAUUGCCACGUCUUCGAAGAUUGACAUGAAAAAAGGGGCAAGAAAAGAGCUACAAGACAGAAGAAUACAAAUUAUUUUUCAGGAAAAAGAUAGUAGAUCAACAAGAAUGAAGAUUCCUCCAACCUAGACGGUGAAGAGUCAAGCCUUAAAUACUUUUCGGGCAGCUUUUUUUCAAUAGUUUCUUAUGAUUCAGAGCACUUGAAGUAGAUACGUGUUGUAUAGUUAAUGCAAAGUUCAUGGUACUCGUGCAUUGUGGAAUAAUGAAAAUUAAUAUUCUGGGCUUUGCUGGAAAUGAUGUCCCCUUUGCAUAUUUCUGAUAUUUAACACUAACACAAUCUUCAUAUGAUGCUAAACAGCAUGAAGUUGCAAAUAAUUCAGAGUAAUCUACAUAGAGUUUGUUUGUAUCGAUGAACCGCGCACUUAUUUAUAAUUUAUGACAAGCUAGCUGUUACUCUUUGGAAUUAUUGUUUCUGCAUGUGUACAACAAGUUCAUGAUUACUAAUAAUCUAGGCUGAUGUGUUGAACUGCAGAAAAAUUGGUGCAUGUGCGUGAUUGAGUUUUAGUUCGGGAAAGAUGGCAUCCAGUGAAUAAAAUGAGAAUGCAGAAGUUCAACAAGUAUAAGAACAAUGGUACUUUUGAAGUAUUGAGGUCAAAAGUAAUCUGUUAGUUUUCAGUUAUCUGAGAAGGCAUCGUUAUCACGAAAGAAAUCUUACACAUUGGUCUGUGAGACGAGAGAAGCGGAGGUGGAAGAUUUCCAGAGGCAGUGUAGUAGCAGCUUCCUAGAAGCAAUGAACAACUCUACUAAGAGAGGACGGCAGUUUUCCAACAGAAGAUGUCGCUAGCUGUCCCCGAAGCCAGAGGAAAUGAAGGCAACUUUCAAGGAUGAAAAAUUGACAAGCAGAAGAGAACGGCAGCUUCUUAGGAGAGAUUGGCGGCUUUCCAGAAGAAGUUGACGGUACUUUUCCCGGCGAAGAGGAGUAUGACUUUCAAGAUGAAGAGGAACCACGAUUUACCAGUGGAAGAGGACCACGACUCCCAGAAGGAGAGGGACCACGACUCCUAGAAGAAGAGGGACCACGACUCCCAGAAGUAGAGGACGUCGACUAACAGAAGUGGAGGAUCACGACUGCCAGAAGUAAAGGGACCACGAUUGCUAGAAGUAGGCGGACAACGAUUCCCAGAAGGAGAGGGACUACGGCUUACAGAAGGAGAGGACCAGGCCUACCAGAAGAAGAGGGACCAAGACUGCCAGAAGAGGAAGACAACGACUCACAGAAGGAGAGGGGCCACGUAGUCAAGGAGAGGAGAACAGCAGCUUCCUAGGAGGAGAGAUCGGUAGCUGCCCAGGAGAGGAGCUUUACCAAGAUGUUCCAGUAGGAAAGGACCACGACUGCCAGGAGAAUAUGACACAGAAGAUUAUGAUCAAGAUUUUGAAGAAGAUGAGAAGUGCACUAUUUUCUAGUAUAGUAGAAAGAUUCAGAAGAAGAGAGAACAAUAUCAGAUUUCUAGAUUGAAGAGAUUGUUUCCCAAUAGGAAAUGGUAUUCCUGAAGACCUUUAGGGGAUGGUAGUCUUCUGAGCAUAAAAAGCAGCUUUCCAGAUGAUCACAGUUCCUGUGAAAGGAAAAUACUAAUUUCGAGAGGAGCAAUUCAUAAGCUGAACACAAGGACAAGUAAUGAAAUAUUUCGAAUGGUUGAGUAGAUGGUCAUAAAUGUAGAUCAAGAAGAGAAAGAACACGAUAUGAUAGAAUCUUUCGAAAUUGUAAAGAAAAAGUUUACGUUUCAUUCCAGAUGCUGAUGGUCCAAUAAGAAUUCCCAACUAUCCUAUGAAGCCCUCAGUGCGAAUGCUGAAAUUUUUGGGCAGAUUUCCCACUGGUGAGGUCAGGAAUAACGAAUCAUUUUCCAGACAUCUGAAGAAAAGUAUCGCUGAGUAUGCGGCUCGGUAUAAAAGAAAAAAAUGUCGUCAAGAUAGAAGAGGAUUGCCACAUCUUCUAAGAUUGACAUGAAAAAGGGGCGAGAAAAGACAGACAAGACAGAAUGGAACUCAACUUCUUCCAAAUUGUGAUGACAACAGAUACAAAUCAUUUUUCAGGAAAAAGAUGGGAGAUCAACAAGAAUGAAGAUUCCUCCAACCAAGACGGUGAAGAGUUUAUGUCUAGCCUUAAAUAUUUUUUCGGGCAGCUUUUUUUCAAUAGUUUCUUAUGAUUCAGAGCACCUAAAGUAGAUACAUGUUUUUUAGUUCAUGGUACUCGUGCAUUGUGGAUUAAUGAAAAUUAAUAUUCUGGGCUUUGCUGGAAAUGAUGACCCCCUUUGCAUAUUUUUGAUAUUUAACACUAACAGAAUCUUCAUAUGAUGCUAAACAGCAUGAAGUUGCAAAUAAUUCAGAGUAAUCUAAACAGAGUUUUUAUAUAUCAAUGAUUCCUCGCACUCAUUUAUAAUUUAUGACAAGCUAGCUGUUACUCUUUGGAAUUAUUUUUUCUGCAUGUGUACAACAAGUUCAUGAUUAAUAAAAAUCUAGGCUGAUGUGUUGAACUACAGAAAAAUUGGUGCAUGUGCGUGAUUGAGUUUCAGUUCGGGAAAGAUGGCAUCCAGUGAAUAAAAUGAGAAUGCAGAAGUUUAACAAGUAAACGAACAAUGGUACUUUUGAGGUGUUGAGGUCAAAAGUAAUCUGUUAGUUUUCAGUUAUCUGAGAAGGCAUCAUUAUCACGAAAUGAGAUCUUACACAUUGGUCUGCGUGACGAGAGGAGGUGGAAGAUUUCCAGAGCCAGUGUAGUAGCAGCUUCCUAGAAGCAAUGAACAACGACUCUACGAAGAGAGGACGGCAGUUUUUCAACAGAGGAUGUCGCUAGCUAUCCACGAAGCCAGAGGAAAUGAAGGCAACUUUCAAGGAUGAAAAAUUGACAAGCGGAAGAGAACGGCAGCUUCUUAGGAGAGAUUGGCGGCUUUCCAGAAGAAGUUGACGGUACUUUUUCCGGCGAAGAUGAGUAUGAUUACCAAGAUGAAGAGGAACCACGAUUUACCAGGAGAAGAGGACCACGACUCCCAGAAGGAGAGGGACCACGACUCCCAGAAGUAGAGGACCACGAUUCCCAGAAGUAGAGGACCACGACUGCUAGAAGUAGGGGGACCACAAUUCCCAGAAGGAGAGGGACUACGGCUUACAGAAGGCGAGAACCAGGACUACCAGAAGGAGAGGACCACGACUCCCAGAAGUAGAGGACCACGACUGCCAGAAGUAAAGGGACCACGACUGCCAGAAGAAGAGAGACCACAACUGCUAGAAGUAUGGGGACAACAAUUCCCAGAAGGAGAGGGACUACGGCUUACAGAAGGCGAGAACCAGGACUACCAGAAGGAGAGGACCACGACUCCAAGAAGUAGAGGACCACGACUGCCAGAAGAAGAGAGACCACAACUGCUAGAAGUAUGGGGACCACAAUUCUCAGGAGAGGGACUACGGCUUACAGAAGGAGAGGACCAGGACUACCAAAAGUAGAGGGACCACGACUGCCAGAAGGAGAGGACCACGACUCCCAGAAGGAGAGGGACCACGUCGUCAAGGAGGAGAGAACAGCAGCUUUCUAGGAGGAGAGAUCGGUAGCUGCCCAGGAGAGGAGCUUUGCUACUUUCCAGGCGAAGAGGCCAAGAUUUUCCAGUAGGAAAGGACCACGACUACCAGGAGAAGAGGAUCACGACUGCCAGUAGGGGAGGACUGCUGUGGUUUUCCGGUUUCUCUAGGGAAUCGGUUGCUUCCAUCUUUAGGAGGAGUGGACGACAAUUAUCCAGAAGACUACUUCUUGGAGGAGAGAGUCGCAGCUUUCUAGGACAAGGGAUAGCAGCAUUCCAGGAUGCGAAGACGGCAAUUUUCCAGAAGAGGAACGCCGCAGAUUUCCCACAGGAGGUGGUUGCCAAGAGUUGCAGUUUCCAGUGGAAGUUUUUCUAGAGCGGAGGACUGCCGUAUAACGAAUGGUGAAGGCUCAGUGUUUUCAGGAAGAGAAUGGAAUUUUUCAUCAGAUUAGCGACGAAGCACUUGGGACAAUAGGUCGGAAAAAUCACCUUGAAGAUGCAGACAUGGAGGAAUUACGGUUCAGGAAGGAUACGAAUCAAUGCAGUGGAUUGAUGAAAAACAGGUAUUAAUCUCUUUUUCAGGUAUGUAGAUGCAGACGAGACGGAAUAUGGAACGAUGAAGAACUUUCAAAAUUCGAAGUAUGUACGUAAUUUUCAAUUCUGUUUGGGAGUCGUCAUGGUAAACGGUACCGGCAAUUUGUAAACGACCGAUUUGGAUGAAUGCCAUAUGAAAGUGGAUGAGUUUUUCAACUAAUAAUCUAACAUUCUAAUGGACGUAUUUCAACAUCCAAAAGGGGGGAUUUUGCGGAUUACAUUCAACGACAUUCUUAUGGACCUCCGCACCAUUUUGAUAUUAAUGCCACUACAUUUUUCUAAAUUUUGACGGACGUGAAAGAAAUGAAUCGAGACAUCUCCCAGUUUGUAGGACAGUAUCAAAGAAAUAACUAAGAAUAACUAGAGGUUAAAGGUUGGAAUAAAAUUCGGCCAAAACUGAGAUCAACACGAGUCACACUUCAUCAGUUUCGUUUUUCCUAAUGGAUAUAGAAUAAAAGUGAGAGAAUCUUUACCCUCGGCUUCACGUCAAGAUUGGAAAUACUCUGAUACCGAAUUACGCAUUCUAACAACGUGUGACGGAAUGGAACUUCUUUAGAUAUUCAUGAAAGAUUAAUAUCAACACUCCAUUCGGUCGGCGGCAAACAAAUCUUUAGUUAGUGAUGAACUACUACUAGCUAGAAAUUGACCAGUUUUCGAAAAAUUCUGGAGUUGAGCCAUCGAUAACAAGGCAACAAGCAGAAAACUUGAUGAACAGUCGCACCUUAAACUGAUGAUCUUUUGAAAAACGAAAUGAUUAAUAUCAACACUCCAUUCGUUGGCGCCAUAACAAGGCGGCAAACAGAAAUCUUUAAUUAGUGAUGAACUACUAGCACCUUGAAAGAAAUUUGAGCUCUUUUCGAAAAAUUCUGGAGUUGAGAGAUUCUUCUUGAAGAAUGGUCUUUUGAAAGUUGAGCCAUCGAUAACAAGGCAGCAAGCAGAAAACUUGAUUAACAGUCGCAUCUUAAAUUGACGAUCUUUUGAAAAAUUUUGGAGUUGGGACAUUAUUCUUGAAGAAUGAUCUUUGAGAGUUGGGCUAUAGAUGGUCCAAUCCUGAACGAGUUAUUAUCCACUGAACCUAAAAGGGUACUUGUACAAAUAAUAUUUCAUCAGUAUUCAAAACAGUGAUUCCAGAAUCCGACCAAAUCAUGUGAAUUUCCAGGAGCAUCUCGGUUCAGCAGGUAUGAAAUUUAUUUCUUUUAUUAAAUCAUUUGGUGACAGGAAUUGAAAGGACGAAUCAUGUUAAAGCAACGACCAUAAGAGUCUAGUCUUAUAUUUGAAGUUGUAGUAGAUACUAACGAAUUAUUCUUGAAUGAUUUUGCGAAACAUAGGAAGUAGAAGAAUAACAUCAGUCUUUAAAUGUGUUGUUAGCUGCUUUGGAGAACUUAAUUCAUACAUACUUGAUCAAAUGCAAUGCUUCAACAAUUUUGAGAGAUUUAUAAAAUGGGGAGAUAACGCGUUCAUGAGAGGGGUUAACAUUGAUUCUUGAGAUUUGCAUUGCUUUUCGAUAGUGAUACGCUUUUCAAAAUUUUCUCUACUGAAUUUACUGCCUUUCAAUCCCUUCAAGAGAAGUUAGGAGUUUAAUUGGAUAAAUAUUCACAAACUGAGAAAUUAUUUCAUUUAAUUUGAAGAAACCUACAUUUGGAGAACAAGUCAGAGGAAUUGACCAGAUUAUUCGAACAAAGAUCAUAAAUCUGGAACCCACUUGCAAUAAGUCUCUGCAGUUUUGAAGUUGCACUUGAAUUAAAUCUUUCAUAAUAAUUGUCAGUGCGCAUUGUCAUAAUAAGUAGAUAAUUUCUCAGUUGAAAUAAUAAGGAAUAUAUUAAUAAAUGGUUUCAGGAAA